CUCUUUAAUUUUCUAUCCACUUAGUAUUAUAAUAAACAUUUGAAAUUAUCUCUAUCGCCAUGUAAAUUCAAAUUUAAAAUUUAAUAAUCUUUACAUCUAUAUCUAUAUCAUAUGCAUCAUUCUAUGCAAUAAAGGAAUUGUCUUCUUCGAAAUCUCAUGUCUCUUCAUCAGCGAGGCAAACAGAAAUUCAGCUCCAGGAUCAAGCUCUGUUUUAGAUCGAUUGUUCAAGCUUUACUUUGAUAUUUGUACUGUUUAUAGACCCAAAUAAACCAGAAGAUAUGCACGGGAGAAAAAUCAGGUGAAUUGGGAUCAACAUUCCACAUAAUCUCUGAUUUGAUUUUUAUUUACAUGAAAUUUCAGGCUUUUAUGUAAUCCAAAAAAAUUUGCCUAAAAGAAUGCUUUUCCUCUUUAUCCUUGUGAUUUUUUUCCUCAAUAAAGUUGCUUGCAAAUCAGACUGGUCAACGAAUAUCAACAUAUACAUGAUUUAGAUUAAAGUGCUUAAUUAUUGUUUAAUGAAAAUGAAAAUAUAAUCAUGCAUGAUGGAGUUAGUUGAGAAUUAAAAUUUAUGUUUAUCGUUAUGACCAAGCAACCAAGACUUGAUAAGAACUAAAAUUAGUAAUCUUACUUAUUCGUUAAUAGAACGAAAUGAGACGGAAUAGUAGUUUCUAUAGAGGUGACACUUUGCACAAUUGUGGUGUUUAACAUAAAAUUGUAUGUAUAAUAAUAGUUAUAUAUUUAAAGUGAUAUAUAUUCACAUUUCAAAUAUGUGUUCUUUAAUUAAUUCUUAGAAUACUA